rnacentral:rRNA from 1 species
AUUGAACGCUGGCGGCAGGCCUAACACAUGCAAGUCGAGCGAGCGGCGGACGGGUGUGUAAUGUAUGGAGCCUGCCCGAUAGAGGGGGAUAACUACUGGAAACGGUGGCUAAUACCGCCAACUAUCGUAUCACCCAUAUGGGAUGGGCUAGUAGGUGGGGUAAAGGCUCACCUAGGCGACGAUCUCUAGCUGGUCUGAGAGGAUGAGCAGCCACACUGGAACUGAGACACGGCCCAGACUCCUACGGAGGUAGCAGUGGGGAAUAUUGCACAAUGGGCGCAAGCCUGAUGUAGCCAUGCAGCGUGUAUGAAGAAGGCCUUAGGGUUGUAAAGUACUUUCAGCGGGGAGGCGUUACCCGCAGAAGAAGCACCGGCUAACUCCGUGCCAGCAGCCGCGGUAAUAC